rnacentral:tRNA from 2 species
GUCGGGGUGGCUCAGCCUGGUUAGAGCGCCUGACUCAUAAUCAGGAGGUCGCGGGCUCAAAUCCCGCUCCCGACA